rnacentral:rRNA from 1 species
GACGAACGCUGGCGGCGUGCUUAACACAUGCAAGUCGAACGGAAAGGCCCUGCUUUUGUGGGGUGCUCGAGUGGCGAACGGGUGCGUAACACGUGAGUAACCUGCUCUUGACUUUGGGAUAACUUCAGGAAACUGGGGCUAAUACCGGAUAGGAGCUCCUGCUGCAUGGUGGGGGUUGGAAAGUUUCGGCGGGUGGGGAUGGACUCGCGGCUUAUCAGCUUGUUGGUGGGGGAGUGGCUUACCCAGGAUUCGACGGGUCGGCGGCCUGAGAGGGUGACCGGCGACAUUGGGACUGCGAGACGGCGCAGUGUGGUACGGGAGGCAGCAGUGGGGAAUAUUGCACAAUGGGCGGAAGCGUGAUGCAGCAGCGCCGCGUUCGGGAUGACGGCCUUCGGGUUGUAAACCGCUUUCGCUUGUUACGAAGCGGGAGUGACGGUAAUGGGUAAAGAAGCACCGGCUAACUACGUG